UAUAGCUCUGCGUACCUUACGUACGCAAAUAUUUCUCGUCCAACUCCCCUUCACUUUUGACUUCCCAGUUCUCUGUAUCCUUCCACUCGAUUCCACCAUAUCGCCGGCGACGAUGCCGGGUCCGGGGCCGCACAUCAUGUACGCUCUCGGCGCCGGAACUGGCCUCAUGCGCUUGAGCAAUGGCCGCUUCACUCCUCAGCACUGCCUCUUCUACGCCGCCAACGCUUUCCUCGGCCCCGAUCUGGGUUCCUUUGCCGAAUGGCUCGCCUCCUUUUUCCCCGAUGGAUCUGGCGGCCGCCGUCUCGGGGACUUAGCCAUGGAGCUCAUCCAUCACCCUUUCUAUUACAUCCUGCUCCUUGGAUUUCCACUUUCUUUUUUCUAUGCUUGGCUCUCUCGUGUCCUCCUCCAGAAGGGCCUGAUCGAUACUAUUUCAGGGGUUGCUUUGAGUAGGAAACAGUGCUUCUGUCUCGUGGCUGCGGGUUCUUUGUCGCAUUUUUUCCUUGAUCAUCUAUUUGAGCUUCGAGCGGUUAGGGUGCGAGUGCAAGCUGCAGAGGAAGAAGAAGUUGUAUCUCUGCGGCUCGUAGAGGAAGGAGGCUCUGACGUGCGGCUCGUAGAGAGGAAGGAGGAGAAGUGCAAAGCCUUCGUCAUUCGACCGAAAGCUUGGAGAGGAAGAGUGUCGUCGCAGGAUCCUUCUGCGUGCGACGUGCGAGGGGGAGGAAGGCUCGACCAAGGGCCGGGUGGUGACAGUAACACCCAUUGACAGAUGGCCAAACAAGAGUGGUGAAUCAUAGCUUCGCCAAUCUUUGUAAGUUUUUUGUGGGAAAUAACAUUUGAUAGUGGGAUCCAGACUUUUUCAAAGAAUAAGAGGUUUCUCCUAGUCGGGGAGAAUGACACGAGAGUUGUUCGUGCCCGCAAGGCUGCAGAACGAAUUUCCAACAAUAUUGGAUUCUGCACAUUGCGGAAUUGACCGUCCUGCAAUUGCAGAUUGCACGUAAAGACAACAGAGGAAAAUGGUCAUUCCUCAAUGUAUACAUGGAUAUUGAGUACAGGAUGGUGGGAAGGCCGAGCCCCCAUAAAC